ACGGGGUGCAGCAGGCGCGAAACCUCCGCAAUACACGAAAGUGUGACGGGGUUACCCAAAGUGUUCAGUUUUGAACUGUGGUAGGUGAGUAAUGUCCCCUAGUAGAAAGGAGAGGGCAAGGCGGGUGCCAGCCGCCGCGGUAAAACCAGCUCUUCAAGUGGUCGGGAUAAUUAUUGGGCUUAAAGUGUCCGUAGCCGGUUUAGUAAGUUCCUGGUAAAAUCGGGUAGCUUAACUAUCUGUAUGCUAGGAAUACUGCUAAACUAGAGGGCGGGAGAGGUCUGAGGUACUACAGGGGUAGGGGUGAAAUCUUAUAAUCCUUGUAGGACCACCAGUGGCGAAGGCGUCAGACUGGAACGUGCCUGACGGUGAGGGACGAAAGCCAGGGGAGCGAACCGGAUUAGAUACCCGGGUAGUCCUGGCCGUAAACGAUGCAUACUAGGUGAUGGCAUGGCCAUGAGCCGUGUCAGUGCCGUAGGGAAACCGUUAAGUAUGCCGCCUGGAAGUACGUCGCAAGGC
rnacentral:rRNA from 1 species